rnacentral:lncRNA from 1 species
UCGCGAACCAUGGCCAUCUCUUAUAAUAAAUGCAAUCCCAAUCUUAUCAGGUAGCACAGAAGUAUCGAAGUUUAAAAGUAAUUUACCAAAGGGAGAGAGCAGCCAAUCAGUAGGGUAUGGAGAAGAAAUGUGCCAAAUUGGCACAUGAGAGCUACUCCAGGACUUCAGCUUAGAAGUAGGACCAAAAACUUCAUUGAUGCUCAUAAAAAAAGAGAUCAUUUGCCUUACCAAUUGGCCGAGAGUGGAAGAUAUUUAUUGAAAUAUUCUAUUAUUUCUGAAGUUCCAAACUAACCACGCCAUAUGACUCAUCAUUGCUUUAAUCCUUUUCUCUAUGUGGCCAUUAGCUAAUAAAGCAACCAAGGCCAGCAAAGAAGAAGGAAUAAAAUGAUGCUCAGAAGCCAUAGCAAAAGAAGUCCAACAUUGCUUAGUGAAG